ensembl:lncRNA
GAAAAACUGGAGGAAGUCUGUGUGUCAUCCUUCAGAGCAAAGGAGGGGUACCACAGGAGCCAGAUGCACAAAUGAUUACUAAAAGAGAUCGGGAAAUACACAGAGGAAAGUCUGUUGCUGGGUCAGACAACUCAGCUGUUGUCCUCAAAUCUGCCCAGACUGCUACUUUACAGGAUUUUGUAGAAAGUCCUGGGUAGAAAACUGUCUUCAAAGUUCAUACUACAACCAACCAACCAACCAAGGAAGAACCAGAGAAAGCAGCAAAACAGAAAACAAUCCCUCGUAGCACCAAGACGUCCCAGGACACUUAAAGACAAGAACGUUGGAACUCACUCAAACUUCACUAUACUUGAAAAAUGAAAGGCAUAACUUCCAUUUCACACCUUUCACAUUUUAAGUUCUGCCUCAUCCCAUGGCAUUGCACAUGAUGGGAGCAAACAGGAAAAAGAAAAAAAAACCAAGUUAUUUAUUAAAAUUAUAGAAUAAAGAGUAAGAGGAAAGAUAUAUACGCAUGCCAGUGGUCCAAAUAAAUUAGGGUCAUUUACAUCAGUAGACGUUGACAAUUUUUACAUUUAUUAUAAUAUUUUCCACAUAACUAUUCUAUCCAGUGACAUUUGUGCUCAUAUAUUAAAUAUACGUGACAGUAUGCAAUAUAUUGCUAAAUAUUUGACCAUUGCUAAAUGCUGCAGUGGUUUGAAUACAUUUACAAACUGUCAAAUAUUUUAGAGUUUCAAGUGAUGUAUUUUAGAACUGAAUAAAAUGAAGAUAACUUACAGAGGAAGGGAAAGAUUCUCUUCUUGGCUGCUAAUAAGCAAGCCCAGUCUCCCUGCAGGUCCGGGAAUAGCAGAGCACAUCUUUAGUCCCCUUGGAGUUAGGAGUUGGGACUAACAGAGGUGUUAGACGUGUAUAGGAUCUGCUCUGCCCGUUAAAAUCAGUACAGAGCUUUUGAGAGUGUUAUAACAGUUCUCAGCUGAGACCCAGGCCAAAUAUCUUUAAUCCCAGCUCAUGUAGCACACGUGUUGACAUGGGAAGAAGGACAUGAUAUAAGGCAGUGACAUCGGAGCUUUUAAAGCAAUCUUUCCUCUUGGCACUUGGUGCUUUUAUUUGUUUUUCUUUUAAAUAAACAGGUUUAACCUGGAAUUAGCACAGAUUAAAUUUAUAGCAAGAACAGCAGAAGAAAGUACUCAGAAGACAGACCCUCUCCAGUUCCAUCUACUUCAGCCCAAGUCUUGUCCCUCUUCUCCUCCCCAGCUCUCACCCUUCCAGACCAGCAUCCCUUAAGCCAGAAUCACUACAUCCACCAGGCUCCUGCUUCAUCUCCCAGCCUCAAUCCUUCAUUCCCAGGCUUUCUGCCCAGGGCACAGGCUCCUCAUCAGGCCCUCUCCAAAGUUCACUGCCUCUCUGUUCCUUCUCUCCCACCUUCCCUUGAGCAGAGCCUUGGGUUUGAAGGGAAAGCACCCAGCUGUUCUCCACCAUCCAAAUCUGAUGUUGGGGUAUUUUAUUUUUGCACCCAGCAGCUUUAAGGGCUACAGAGAAGUGCAAGCUUCCUAUUGUGAGAUUGCACCUCUACAAGCCCCGAGGAAAGGAGCAGCACGAAGCCCAGCUUCCACCCCUUCCACCCCACAGCUCUUUCUCCAGGGGAGAGGCAGAGGCUCUUCAGGCAGACAGCCUCACACGCUGCUAAAACCCAACUCCUUCCUGCUGAAUAUGCAUGAUCUAAGUUUGUUAAAAGCCUGACAGCUUUGUAAAUGUGGGUGGAUUCUGACAGAAACUGCAAAAGGCAUAGCCUUGAAACAAAAGGCCAAUUCCCUGCCAGCUUUCAUGCCUCUGCUGCAAAGCAUGGGAGUGCCAUGCAGUUAUAAAGAAAAGAUCACCAGAAUGGUUUUUGUUAGUUUUGUUUGCAUUUAUUUCAUUAUUAUUUUUACUUUGCUGUUGCAAAACACUGUUCCAGCCUUCCCCUCCCCCUCAGCCUGAUUUUGUGGGAUUGCUUUGGCUGAGAUCUCACAGCCUGGAGCAGCUAACCUGGUGCAAAAAGCACAUCACCAAUAUGGUUCAACUUCAGCGAAGAAGCAGGCACCUGUAGACAGGGUCUCCUGAAAGUGCCCUGCUUAAAAAAACACACAUUCUGCCUCAAUUUCUCAGAGCUCAGAUCACACAGCAUACGCUGUUUUUCAUCCCAGUUCGGGAUACUGCUGUCUGUAGGGUUAAUCCCAGCAAUGGAAUGGAGACAUUUAGGGGAGGCGCAGGCUUGUGCCAGCGUGGCAAGGUGCUAUGCCGUUCUGCGGGGAAAGGCUUUUAAUUAAAAAGCAGUUCCAGGGAAAGGGAUGAACUGAAACACAAAACCGUUGCAUCUAGUGUUAGCUAACGGCUUAUUCUAAACAUUUGUCAGGUGCUUUGAGUCCAGGCUAGGUUCCAGGAAUGCUGAAUAAACAUAAAUAAAUAUUCUCCCCUCCCUGCCCUGAAUAGGCUAUAAGCAAAGCCCUACAAGCUGCCUGCAGAGUUUAAGGAAGGAAACAGAUGUAGGAAAUUUUACAAGCAUUCCCUCAGAUUCGCUGUGAACACCGGACAAGCAUUCAGAAAGCAAAGUGAGCUGUCAGGUGUGCAAAGCUUCUGUUCAGAGCCAAGAUCUGGCCCAGCCUCCACGCUGCUGGAGAUGCCAUCCUGGUCCUUACCUCCUCCUGGAGCAGACAGCACCUGUCUGAGGGCACUGUGUGUCCCAGAAGGCAGCACAGCCAGCACAGCUCAUCCAUUUGUCAUGAGCAUCAGGAGCUC